rnacentral:rRNA from 1 species
CCUACGGGAGGCAGCAGUGAGGAAUAUUGGUCAAUGGGCGAGAGCCUGAACCAGCCAAGUAGCGUGAAGGAUGACGGCCCUACGGGUUGUAAACUUCUUUUGUCAGGGAGCAAUGUGCUCCACGCGUAGGCUUUUGUAUGGUCCCUGUGGAUAAGGCAUGGGCUAACUCGUGGCCAGCGGCCGGGGUAAAAGGGAGGAUGCGAGUGUUAUCGGGAUUUUUUGGGUUAAAGGGGUGCUUAGGGGGAAUAUCAAGUCAGCGGUAAAGAUUCGGGGCUCAACCCAGUCGUGCCGUUGAAACUGGUGUCUUUGAGUGGGCGAGAAGUAUGCGGAAUGCGUGGUGUAGCGGUGAAAUGCAUAGAUAUCACGCAGAACUCCGAUUGCGAAGGCAGCAGACCGGCGCUAAACUGACGCUGAAGCACGAAAGCGUGGGUAUCGAACAGGAUUAGAUACCCUAUAGUC